rnacentral:rRNA from 1 species
GUGCCAGCAGCCGCGGUAAGACGAACCGUGCGAACGUUAUUCGGAAUCACUGGGCUUAAAGCGCGUGUAGGCGGGCCGGCACGUCGAUGGUUGAAAUCCCCCAGCUCAACUGGGGAACAGGCCUCGAUACGACCGGCCUCGAGGGGGGUAGGGGGAGCCGGAACUUCCGGUGGAGCGGUGAAAUGCGUUGAGAUCGGAAGGAACGCCCGUGGCGAAAGCGGGCUCCUGGACCCCACCUGACGCUGAGACGCGAAAGCCAGGGGAGCGAACGGGAUUAGAUACCCCGGUAGUCC